rnacentral:misc_RNA from 1 species
GAUGAAGAACGCAGCGAAAUGCGAUACUUGGUGUGAAUUGCAGAAUCCCGUGAACCAUCGAGUCUUUGAACGCAAGUUGCGCCCGAAGCCAUUAGGCCGAGGGCACGCCUGCCUGGGUGUCACACGUCGUUGCCCCCCCAUCUACUCCUUCGGGAUUGCGGGGGGCGGAUGAUGGCCUCCCGUGCGCCUCGUCGCGCGGUUGGCAUAAAUGCCAAGUCCUCGGCGACGCACGCCACGACAAUCGGUGGUUGCGAAACCGCGGUUGCCCGUCGUGUGCGGUCGUCGCGCAUCGAGGGCUCGAAAAAAUUGCCGGGCUCCGGCUCGGCUUUCAACGCGACCCCAGGUCAGGCGGGGUUACCCGCUGAAUUUAAGCAUAUCAAUAAGCGGAGGA